CGCGUAGGCGGGUGUUUAAGUCAGAGGUUAAAUCCCAGAGCUCAACUCUGGAACUGCCUUUGAUACUGGACACCUAGAGUUCGGGAGAGGUGUGUGGAACUCCGAGUGUAGAGGUGAAAUUCGUAGAUAUUCGGAAGAACACCAGUGGCGAAGGCGACACACUGGCCCGUUACUGACGCUGAGGCGCGAAAGCGUGGGGAGCAAACAGGAUUAGAUACCCUGGUAGUCCACGCCGUAAACGAUGAGUGCUAGUUGUCGGCAUGCAUGCAUGUCGGUGACGCAGCUAACGCAUUAAGCACUCCGCCUGGGGAGUACGGUCGCAAGAUUAAA
rnacentral:rRNA from 1 species